rnacentral:rRNA from 1 species
UGAGGUUAAGUUAACAAGGGCGCAUGGUGAAUGCCUUGGCACUAGGAGCCGAUGAAGGACGGGACU